ensembl:lncRNA
ACAGUGUGGUGUUUAUCUGAGCAGAGCAAAGCCAGCAACUAUCCAAAUGCUAUUCUGAAUUAAUUGUACAAGCUCCCUUGGAUGAGAGCAGCUCCUUUUGCCAUGCAACCAUCUAACAAGGCAACAUUAGGAAGUAAACAUUAUGUACUGCAAAAACUAUCAAUCCUUUCAAACCAGAUAUUUCAGUGAAACAUGAGGGAGAAAGGCAUGCUCCAACAGAAUCAUCAUUUGAUAUUAUCAAAAUCAUUAUCAAAGCAGAAGUUUUAUUGCCUAGGCGUACUGCUCAGUAUGCUGCCUGCCACCAUGAAAAGAUGAGAGAUUCAUAUUCUUGGAAACUGAAGAAUUUCUCACCCGUCACGUCAUACUGUCCAAAGUGUUUGUCUGAAAAACCAAGCCAAGUUUACACAUGCCAUUUCUGUUGAUACUACUCCAAUUUCAUGGCCUGGAGCUUCUCACUACAUUUUGCCAAAGUGGCAACAGAUUGAAAUUCUGAAAAGUGUUCGGACAGAGUAUAGUUUACCCAGCUGGACUCUGGCCAGGAGUAACGUCAUCUCUCAUACAGUGAUGGUGACCUGGGAGCUCCAGCAACUCUGUCCAACCGGCAACGUGAUCGUUAACGGGAAUGGAUUGCUAUCAACUCCAACACGCCAUCUGCAGCAGUCCACGCAAUCCCUGAUGAUCCCUCUUUGAAUGCUCUAUGUAUUGAUAUGAUGUCAUACACAAACUAACAUCCCCUAGUGUCCCAACUUUUCUCUCCACAAACUGACUGCUUUAGCUCACUUCGGUGUUGUUUGAACCUGUAAAUAAGGAAUGCAGAGUCUCUGAGAUUAACGCUUAACUGGAGCCCUACCUGUAGGACCUAAGGUCUGCAGGCUGCCACACACAUAGGGCAAAGACCAUGUUCGUGCCUAGGGCCACAUAAGACAACAUGCCCUGGAAGCCUGCACUGCAGAGACCUAUCUAUGAGAGGGCUCUUUGGAACAAGGAAUAGGAACAGCAGCUGUGGAGCAGCCCAAAAGCACUCCAAGAUUUUCCAGGGAAUCAUACCACCUCUCUCAUUGACUCCAGAAACCACAUCACCUUCAGGCAACAGAUGUAAAGGUAACUCAUAUUAUUUCUAAAAAUAUCCUGUUAUCUAAGCUGUCUUAUUACAUAUAAUUACCGCACAUAUUGAUGAUGUAUAGGAUACAUUACUGUUACAGAUAACAUUGUAAUUCCCAGAUUUUAGGAUCCAUCUUAACAUCAGCUCCUCUCCCUUGGCACACACAAGGAAGGCACCGCAGUGUGCUUAUAUGUGCAUGCUCAUGGGCAGCUUUGGACAUGUUGCAGUAUCUCAUUACAGGGUCCCUUUGAUGUGUCUGUUUGUUGCCUGGAAAUCAGUGUAAGACUUCCAUGGUCCCCUGGGAGCUUCAGAUUAAUUAAGCUUAUCAUUUCUACAUGGUGCCGGGUAUGAUCAGUGACUGAGGCAGUCAGGUGGCAACAUGCUGAUGGGAAAUCUUCACAGUUCUGUCACUUCCUUACCACUUCUUUGCCUUAAAACAGCUAUUUCAAGUGGAAUCAACAAGCAGCUCUGGACAAAGUCCCAGUAAUGGAAUGAAACACAUACUUCACAUGGAUAGGAGCAUGUUUCCAGAGAAACCUGUUACAUCAAUCCUCAUUCAAGAGAGAAGUUAAACUCCAGUGCAUGUCUUUCUGCUAGCAGUAGUUUUACAAACAAGUAAAAAGAUCUAUGACAUGGCCAGUCCCUUCUGCUUAUACAUAACCCUGCACUGUCUCACUGCUGCGAUGACAGUGGAAAGAACAAGAGAGGCACUAGAGUGACCUUUAGAAACCUUGAUCAUUCUGUCUCUGAUCACUCAAACCCAGUGAAGGUUCUUGUAACACUGACUUCUCUCUGGUUCUUUGAACAGGUGUGAUGACUGCAAGUGGGGUUCAGGGAUCCCCUGCCCUUUCAAGGGAGGGAGCAGAAAGACACUGAAAGACGUUAGAACAGAGGAGUGCCUACAGUGGUCUUGAGAUCUGUAGGAUUUGUUAGACCACCUACGGUGCUAGUGACCAAGGUGCCACAUACACUGCAGUGAGGGAGGAGGUGGUAUCAUCAUCCUGGUGACAAGAUUGCAAACAACCUCUUUGGGCUGGAAUAGCCUCAAAGAUGGGUUUUCCUAUUUGAUCAAGUCCCAGUAUGCUAAACAAAUUGGUAUCAUUCUUGGAAAUAGCCUAGAGGAACACACAAUAUAGUAUAUUGAAAUGGAAUGAAAUCCAGGGAAAAGCAUGGGUGAGGCACAGCAGCUACCAACAAGCAUGGAGCUGCCUCGCUCAGGGCAGCAUCAGAAGUAAAAACAAGGUAAAGGUGGAAAAGGGAGUGGAAUUUGUUAUCUAGGUUCAACUAUGCCUGCAUGGCUUGAGCACAGCAGUGUAAAAUGUGUCAUGUCUGAACACCGAAUCUCUGCAAUGGUUGGCCAAAUUCAGGUGAGGUGAUAUCAGGCGGUAGGUACUCAUUGGCCCCCUCAGGGAAAGAGGAGGGCAGGGCUCUCCUGGGAGCAGGAAAGUUGACUCACCCAGCUCUGUUCUCCUACAAGCAGCCAUGCAACAGUAGAGAUUAGAUGUGUAAUCUGUACUGCUGCCAAAGUGGUAAACGAAUAAAAGAGGUUGCAAAAGAAGCGGAAACUCA